GUGACUGUUUUUGAAAAAUUCAGUUUUCGAAAAAAAAAUUUAAAAAAAGAAAAAAAAACCCUAAUUGUCGCUAUUGAGCGCUAAACAUCAGAUAGCGAUGAUCCAGCGCUACGCUAUUCGCUAUAGCAAUCGCUAUCAUCACUAUUAACAACUCUGAUUCAAAACGAAAAUGUAUCUACAUUCUACCGAUCAUUUCGACUUGAAGUUGCAAUAUUCAAUUUUUAAAGUCCGUAUUGGUUAGUUACCAGAUGAAAUGGGGCCCAAUUUCAGAGACGGCGUUUUGCCAUCCAGCAGCCCAUACUUUUGGGCCUUCAACGGCAAUUGCGAAUGGCGUAAGGAUCAAAAGCGAUAGCAACGAUAAACAAGCGUAAUAGUUCAUUCCACUAACGGACUUUCCCUUCAUGCCUCUUUUAGAAAAUAUGUUCCUAAACACAAACGCCAAAUUGGAUAUCAUAGCCCCCAUAAAACCUGAAAAAUCAUCAACCAGUAAGAAAUGAAAACAUGUAAGAAACGUAUAUUAUUACAGUGUUCGAGUUAUGAAAUUACCGAUCAUGUUGAAGUUGAGCUCGGUAAGGGCGGCAAGACCACAACCACCGAUGAUCGGUAAAAGAGACAAGUAAACCGACGUUGGGAAUGUUUCGCCUAAAAUAAACCUUGAAACCAAAACGCUAAAAGCAGGUUCACCGCUUUUGAUUAUGUGAGUGAAAGAAACUGCAACCUUAGACAUGCUUACAGUUGCUGCUACAUGACCAAUUGUAUGUGCCAAUGCAACCUGAAACAAAGAUUUCCAGAACUGAAGAUCAGUAUUGGGUGUUUCAGCAACUUUAGUAGCCCAAGAGAUCAACAUAAUGGCUGAUCCAGCAGCAAGAGACAAAGUUGAAGUCAACCAAGGGUAUGGAAAAGCAUUCAAAACCUUUUUAUUAUAAAUAUUAAAAAUCACAUUCAAAAACCACCAUGUUGCAAAAUAACCCCCAAUUUUCACCCUCUUUGCUGCUUCAACUUCAAUUUUCUCAACCCCAUCAGAUCUAUCAGCUUCAUACGCCUUACAAACAACCCUCCGAUCAUCAAGUUCAAAUCUUUUUAAUGACCCACAAGAUUGAAUCAAAGAAACAACAUGCAAAGGUUUUGAAUUUGUGACGGCGGAGAUUUUCUUGAUUUUGGGGUUUGAAAGAGGCGGUAAAACCAAGAAUCUUGAUGCGGAAUUGAUACGGUGAUCAGUGAUUUUGGAACUGAGUCCGGUGAUUGUUAAAUGGGGUUGCUUUAAAUUGAAGAUCAUGAUGAAUUUUGACAAAAAGGUUGAGAAUUUGAGUGAAAAGAUUGAAUCUUGAUUGUUGUGGGCUAUUUGGGAUCAAUGUUGUAAUCUGAUAUUGUGUGGCAGCUUUUGUUGUAAAAGAAAUUGUGUUUUGAUCAACAAUUUAUAUGAUCAUGAGGAGUCGUUAUGGAAUAUUUAAUUGAUAUCUUUUAUUUAUUUAUUUAAUA
rnacentral:lncRNA from 1 species